rnacentral:rRNA from 1 species
UACGGGGGGGGCAAGCGUUGUUCGGAAUUACUGGGCGUAAAGGGCGCGUAGGUGGCCAACUAAGUCAGACGUGAAAUCCCUCGGCUUAACCGGGGAACUGCGUCUGAUACUGGAUGGCUUGAGUUUGGGAGAGGGACGCGGAAUUCCAGGUGUAGCGGUGAAAUGCGUAGAUAUCUGGAGGAACACCGGUGGCGAAGGCGGCGACCUGGGUCGAGACUGACGCUGAGGCGCGAAAGCGUGGGGAGCAAACAGG